rnacentral:rRNA from 1 species
GAUGAACGCUGGCGGCGUGCCUAAUACAUGCAAGUCGAGCGAACAGAUGAGGAGCUUGCUCCUCUGACGUUAGCGGCGGACGGGUGAGUAACACGUGGAUAACCUACCUAUAAGACUGGGAUAACUUCGGGAAACCGGAGCUAAUACCGGAUAAUAUAUUGAACCGCAUGGUUCAAUAGUGAAAGACGGUUUUGCUGUCACUUAUAGAUGGAUCCGCGCCGCAUUAGCUAGUUGGUAAGGUAACGGCUUACCAAGGCAACGAUGCGUAGCCGACCUGAGAGGGUGAUCGGCCACACUGGAACUGAGACACGGUCCAGACUCCUACGGGAGGCAGCAGUAGGGAAUCUUCCGCAACGGGCGAAAGCCUGACGGAGCAGCGCCGCGUGAGUGAUGAAGGUCUUCGGAUCGUAAAACUCUGUUAUUAGGGAAGAACAAAUGUGUAAGUAACUAUGCACGUCUUGACGGUACCUAAUCAGAAAGCCACGGCUAACUACGUG